GCAGCAGGCGCGAAAACUUUACAAUGCUGGGAACAGCGAUAAGGGAACCUCGAGUGCCAGGUUACAAAUCUGGCUGUCGUGAUGCCUAAAAAGCAUUAUAUAGCAAGGGCCGGGCAAGACCGGUGCCAGCCGCCGCGGUAACACCGGCGGCUCGAGUGGUAACCGUUAUUAUUGGGUCUAAAGGGUCUGUAGCCGGCCGGAUAAGUCUUUUGGGAAAUCUGGCAGCUUAACUGUCAGGCUUUCAGGGGAUACUGUCUGGUUCGAGGCCGGGAGAGGUGAGAGGUACUUCAGGGGUAGGGGUGAAAUCUUGUAAUCCUUGAAGGACCCCCAGUGGCGAAGGCGUCUCACCAGAACGGACCUGACGGCAAGGGACGAAAGCUAGGGGCACGAACCGGAUUAGAUACCCGGGUAGUCCCAGCCGUAAACUAUACUCGCUAGGUGUCGGCCACGGUGCGACCGUGCCGGUGCCGCAGGGAAGCCGG
rnacentral:rRNA from 1 species